rnacentral:pre_miRNA from 1 species
CGUGGCGGGGCUUCUAGGAACGCGUAUUUGUUCACCUUGCGGGUGUUAAACACGUUUGUUUCCUUGGGAGAGCGAUACC